UACGGGGGGGGGCAAGCGUUUGUUCGGAAUUACUGGGCGUAAAGGGCUCGUAGGCGGCCAACUAAGUCAGACGUGAAAUCCCUCGGCUUAACCGGGGAACUGCAUCUGAUACUGGAUGGCUUGAGUUUGGGAGAGGGAUGCGGAAUUCCAGGUGUAGCGGUGAAAUGCGUAGAUAUCUGGAGGAACACCGGUGGCGAAGGCGGCAUCCUGGGACCAACACUGACGCUGAGGAGCGAAAGCCAGGGGAGCAAGCGGG
rnacentral:rRNA from 1 species